GUGGUCGACUGGGGCAGCUGGCUGGUGGGAUCUGGAUGAGUUAAUGGGAAUAUGGGGGGAAUAAAACUGGAUUGGUGCAAAUGGACGUUUGGGAGUCAGCACGAACUCGGUGGGUUGAAGGGAAACUGAUGUACUUUUGGAAAGGAGAGCAGUUUCGUUCACGACAGUUGUGAGAUUCAUUUUCUUUGCGCCUGCAGUCGCCGUGAACUGGCGUGGCUUUCAUCCACAGCUUUCACUUUGCAGAUCAUUCUCGUGAACGAAUGAGAGUGGGGAAACGGAUUAGAGUGCGCUGGGUCACGGCUCCAGGACCGUCCACAAUGGUCUCGUGAAGGACUGAAUUCUUUCUGGUAAUCAGUACAGAUAUAGCACAGCACUUUACAGCGAUCCAAGUUCAAUUCCCACCACUGUCUGCAAGGACUUCGCAUGUUCUCCCAGUGACUGUGUGGAUUUCCUCUGGCUACGCCAGUUUCCUCCCACAUUCCAAAGACAUACUGCUUGGUGGUUGGGGUUCUAGUGAGAUCCUGAUUUGCAAGUGGCACUCAACCCGCUUUUAAAAAAAUAGAAAAAUUAACGGUAGAUGAAUUCCCGUUCCUGAAGCUCAUUGGAUGACCGUUCUUCAACAUUCUCCAGACACGUCUUGGAAGGUGGCGCCUUCAGGGUACAGCCCUGCAGACAACCGUUUCUGGGGCAGGGGCGCAAACUACACACAUAUAGAGAGAAGAGUCUGCAGCAGAUUCUUAAAUCAGGAAUCCCAGAAUAAAAAGCUACAUGGCAGAUUAUAACACCAUAACAGCAGCGGUCAGUCUCCCCUUUCACUGUGAAAAUGGGUGACAUCCCUCUGCCCCUCAUUAGUAAGAGAGCACCUGUGGCAUGUCGAACUGUCAGGAAAACAAACCAUGAACUGCAGUUCGUGUCUCUCUUUGGGUGCUUUGUGGCUGUUGAGGUUGUUUUUUGCUGAAAUGGGCAUGGGGUGGGGGAAGGUUGAUGCUUGCUGUUGCUUGCACAGGGGAGGAGAGAGAGGGCACUGGGGUUCUAAUGUUUUUCUGUCAUUCACUCUUUUGGGUUCUUCUGUUUUUCAUGGAUGUCUGCAAAGAUAAGCAUCAAGUUGUAUACUGUAUACAUUCUCUGAUAAUAAAUAAAAUAUUUGACUCUGCAGUGCCUCCUUUAGCUCUGUAUUAGCUAGGUGAAGAAUUGAAUCAUUAAGAACUUUAUGAAUUCAAACUUCCACGCAGUAUUGCACUCACUACAAUGUUGAGAAAUUACUACAAUACUAGAAUUGCUAUCUUUAGUGGUUAAAAUAGCUGUUCUACAUCCAGCUGAUAUUGAAGAGCAGCUCAAGCUUCAGUUCUCCACAUCAAUGCUCCCUUACCCAAUAUAAAAAAAAUUACUUUUACCACUUGCCUUCAUAAGCAAAUUUGCUAAAUUUCACACCUUGCCACUAUGACAGUUAGACAACCAACACAUUUUUAUCACUGUCAGUCAGAUGUUCUUGAUUACCCACCUGAAUGAAGCUUAAAAAUCGGAUUAGAACUGCGGGAUUUAACCAAGUUAACACAAACUCUGAGGACAGCAUGUCAGGUCUUCCUAUCAACUACAUCAGCUCUUCGAGUAACUGUUUUACUUUGAAUCCAAAUUAAUCUGGAAAUAUGACUGUUGAACCUGCUUCAGAUUAACCCGUCACAAGCCCAGCUGCUCAAAUUUUUACAGUAGGAACAGAAUGGACAUAUGCAUUCAUGUAAUGCAUUUUUAAAAAAUAACAAUGCCUUGAAAAAAUAUUGAGCCCCCAACCCUUUGUUCACGCAAGUAUUGUAGCCAGUGGUUUUGAUCAAUUUAACUGAGAUUUUUUCUUUAUUUGUGAAUCACUUGCUCCUUUUUCCACAGUAGAGUCCAAAAAACAGGGAAAAUUGUAAAAAUUAAAAACUGAAAUGUCAGCAGAUCAAAAGCAUUCAUCCUCCUUUGCUCAGUAUUUAGUUGAACCACCUCUCACAGCCAGUAUUCUUCCUGAACAAAUCUCUAUUAGCUUUGCACCACCUGAUGGAGCAAGAUUUGCCCAUUCCUCCUUACAAAAUUGCUCAAGCUGUACCAGGUGAGUUGGGGAGCAGCAGUGGACAGUAAUCUUGAGCUCUUGCCAGAGAUGUUUGAUUGGGUUAAGGUCAGGACUCUGACUGGGCCAGUCAAUUUUCUUCGUUGCUCUGGCAGUGUUACGGGUCAUUGUCCUGCCGAAAGACGAACUUUCUCCCCAGAUUAAGCUUUCUGCUAAAGGCUAGAUUUAUUUAUUUUUUUUUUAAAACCAGGAUGUGUUUAGCAGCAAUCAUCUUCCCAUCAAUCCUGAUCAUAUUUCCAGUCACUACUGCUGAAAAGCAUCUCCAUAGAAUAAUGCUACCUCCAAAGUUUACAGUAAAGAUUAUGUUGCCUGGCUAAUGCUUAGUAUUAAAUUUACACCACAUUUACAGCUUAGCGUUGAGACCAAAAGGUUACACUUCAGUCUCAUCCAACCACAAGACCUUCUUCCACAUUUUUACAGCAUCCAAGUAAUGCUUUGCAAAGUCUUUACCGGCAAGGAUAUUUUUUUUUAUUUUUAGCCAUGGCUUCUUUCUUGAUUGUGGAGCCAUGAACUUCAUAUCCAGUUGCAGCCCCUGACUUCUACAGCUCAUUCAGAGUGAAUGGCAGCAGCACAGUAGCCUCUCUUACAAGUGUCAUUCUUCUCUGGUGACUAAGUUUAGAGGGGAGGCCUGACCUAGACCACAGUACGGCUGUGGUUUCAUAUUUUUCAACUUUUUCCACAGUGGACUGCACUGAACUCUGAGGUACAUUCAGUGCAUUUGAGAUGGUCUCGUACCAUUCCCAGAUUUGUACUUCUCCAUUAUCAUUUCCCUGACUUGUCUUGGAUGCCUUUUUGUCUCUAUUUUGCUUUGGUCUGUUGAAAAUCUAACAGAGGGAGGGAUUAUUUAAUCAGGUGAUCCUCCAAUUCUCUACAUCAAUAAAUUGAGUCGGUAAGGUAAUAUGUAGUAUUGCACCCGAGUAAAAUUAGCAUAGUAAUUAUAAAGGGGAUGAACACACUUUUUUUUUUAAAGAUUCAAUUUUCUUUUUUAAUCUUCAGUAAAUUGUUGAUAGGUUUUGGAUUUUUUUCUUCUGAUUUGACAGGAUGCACAAUGUUUUGCAGAUUAGCUCAAAAAAUCCUACUUCAAUACAUUUUAAAUUUAGAAAACAAGACAAGUUAAAUGCGAAAAUAGCCGUGGGGGGCUGAAUACUUUUACAGGGCACUGUAAAUGUGCUUGGUUUUGAAAGCUUUUGUAUGCCAAAGACAUUGUUGAUAGUUAGACGACCUGUGCUAUAGCUGGGUCCUCAAAAACUGAAUACAGGAGCUUGGUACAAGAAUGAGUGGGCACUAUGGCUAACUGGAGAACUUGUCUGCCAGCAAAUGAAUUCUCCCUUCAUUUUAUAUUUU